UGGGGAAUUUUGGACAAUGGGGGAAACCCUGAUCCAGCCAUCCCGCGUGUGCGAUGAAGGCCUUCGGGUUGUAAAGCACUUUUGGCAGGAAAGAAACGUCGCGGGUUAAUACCCCGCGGAACUGACGGUACCUGCAGAAUAAGCACCGGCUAACUACGUGCCAGCAGCCGCGGUAAUACGUAGGGUGCAAGCGUUAAUCGGAAUUACUGGGCGUAAAGCGUGCGCAGGCGGUUCGGAAAGAAAGAUGUGAAAUCCCAGAGCUUAACUUUGGAACUGCAUUUUUAACUACCGGGCUAGAGUGUGUCAGAGGGAGGUGGAAUUCCGCGUGUAGCAGUGAAAUGCGUAGAUAUGCGGAGGAACACCGAUGGCGAAGGCAGCCUCCUGGGAUAACACUGACGCUCAUGCACGAAAGCGUGGGGGAGCAAACAGGAUUAGAUACCCUGGUAGUCCACGCCCUAAACGAUGUCAACUAGCUGUUGGGGUCUUCGGACCUUGGUAGCGCAGCUAACGCGUGAAGUUGACCGCCUGGGGAGUACGGUCGCAAGAUU
rnacentral:rRNA from 1 species